AACGAACGCUGGCGGUAGGCCUAACACAUGCAAGUCGAACGCCCUAGCAAUAGGGAGUGGCGCACGGGUGAGUAACGCGUGGGAACGUGCCUUUCAGUCUGGAAUAACUGCGGGAAACUGCAGCUAAUACCGGAUAUUCUCUACGGAGGAAAGAUUUAUCGCUGAAAGAUCGGCCCGCGUUAGAUUAGGUAGUUGGUGGGGUAAUGGCCUACCAAGCUUACGAUCUAUAGAUGGUCUGAGAGGAUGAUCAGCCACACUGGAACUGAGACACGGUCCAGACUCCUACGGGAGGCAGCAGUGGGAAAUAUUGGACAAUGGGCGAAACCCUGAUCCAGCCAUGCCGCGUGAGUGACGAAGGCCUUAGGUUUGUAAAGCUUUUUUGUCAGGGAAGAUAAUGACGGUACCUGAAGAAUAAGACACGGCUAACUUCGUGCCAGCCGCCGCCGUAA
rnacentral:rRNA from 1 species